rnacentral:rRNA from 1 species
AUUGAACGCUGGCGGCAUGCCUUACACAUGCAAGUCGAACGGCAGCGGGCCCUUCGGGGUGCCGGCGAGUGGCGAACGGGUGAGUAAUGCAUCGGAACGUACCCGGGAGAGGGGGAUAACCGGCCGAAAGGCUGGCUAAUACCGCAUGAACUCGGAAGAGCAAAGCGGGGGACCUUCGGGCCUCGCGCUCUCGGAGCGGCCGAUGUCCGAUUACGCUAGUUGGUGGGGUAAAGGCCCACCAAGGCGACGAUCGGUAGCGGGUCUGAGAGGACGAUCCGCCACACUGGGACUGAGACACGGCCCAGACUCCUACGGGAGGCAGCAGUGGGGAAUCUUGGACAAUGGGCGCAAGCCUGAUCCAGCAAUGCCGCGUGGGUGAAGAAGGCCUUCGGGUUGUAAAGCCCUUUCGGCGGGGAAGAAAUCGGUCAGGCGAAUAGUCUGGCCGGAUGACGGUACCCGCAGAAGAAGCACCGGCUAACUACGUG